GACGAACGCUGGCGGCGUGCCUAAUACAUGCAAGUCGAACGCAGUGGGGACGGGUGAGUAACACGUGGGUAACCUCCCAUCAGAGGGGAUAAACCUUGGAAACAGGUGCUAACACCAUACUGAUGGAUGGAACAGCGGUGCAUUAGCUAGUUGGUGAGGUAACGGCCAACCAAGGCCACGAGGCCUAGCCGACCUGAGAGGGUGACCGGCCACACUGGGACUGAGACACGGCCCAGACUCCUACGGGAGGCAGCAGUAGGGAAUCUUCGGCAAUGGACGAAAGUCUGACCGAGCAAUGCCGCGUGAGUGAAGAAGGUUUUCGGAUCGUAAAACUCUGUUGUUAGAGAAGCGGUAUCUAACCAGAAAGCCACGGCUAACUACGUGCCAGCAGCCGCGGUAAUAC
rnacentral:rRNA from 1 species